UGAGGUAGAAAAACCAGAAUGAGGCUUUUGGUGUCAUCUGUGGUUGUGGGUCUGCUUCCUGUGUUUGAAGGCUGUGCAACCUGUGUGCUCUUUGUGCAUAUGCCUAAUGAGAAUAAAUUUUCAGCCUUGCUACUGUUUGGAUCUG